rnacentral:rRNA from 1 species
AGUCGAGCGGAUGAAGAGAGCUUGCUCUCUGAUUCAGCGGCGGACGGGUGAGUAAUGCCUAGGAAUCUGCCUGGUAGUGGGGGACAACGUCUCGAAAGGGACGCUAAUACCGCAUACGUCCUACGGGAGAAAGCAGGGGACCUUCGGGCCUUGCGCUAUCAGAUGAGCCUAGGUCGGAUUAGCUAGUUGGUGAGGUAAUGGCUCACCAAGGCGACGAUCCGUAACUGGUCUGAGAGGAUGAUCAGUCACACUGGAACUGAGACACGGUCCAGACUCCUACGGGAGGCAGCAGUGGGGAAUAUUGGACAAUGGGCGAAAGCCUGAUCCAGCCAUGCCGCGUGUGUGAAGAAGGUCUUCGGAUUGUAAAGCACUUUAAGUUGGGAGGAAGGGCAUUAACCUAAUACGUUGAUGUUUUGACGUUACCGACAGAAUAAGCACCGGCUAACUCUGUGCCAGCAGCCGCGGUAAUACAGAGGGUGCAAGCGUUAAUCGGAAUUACUGGGCGUAAAGCGCGCGUAGGUGGUUUGUUAAGUUGAAUGUGAAAUCCCCGGGCUCAACCUGGGAACUGCAUCCAAAACUGGCAAGCUAG